AUAUGUGUAAGAGCGACACAUAUCUUGGUCUAUCUUAGUAUGAAAAACUAUCAAUUCAGUAUAAGGCGGCAGGUAGCCUAGUGGUUAGAGCGCUGGGCCAGUAACCAGCAGGUAGCCUAGUGGUUAGAGCGCUGGGCCAGUAACCAGCAGGUAGCCUAGUGGUUAGAGCGCUGGGCCAGUAACCAGCAGGUAGCCUAGUGGUUAGAGCGCUGGGCCAGUAACCAGCAGGUAGCCUAGUGGUUAGAGCGCUGGGCCAGUAACCAGCAGGUAGCCUAGUGGUUAGAGCGCUGGGCCAGUAACCAGCAGGUAGCCUAGUGGUUAGAGCGCUGGGCCAGUAACCAGCAGGUAGCCUAGUGGUUAGAGCGUUGGGCCAGUAACCAGCAGGUAGCCUAGUGGUUAGAGCGUUGGGCCAGUAACCAGCAGGUAGCCUAGUGGUUAGAGCGUUGGGCCAGUAACCAGCAGGUAGCCUAGUGGUUAGAGCGCUGGGCCAGUAACCAGCAGGUAGCCUAGUGGUUAGAGCGCUGGGCCAGUAACCAGCAGGUAGCCUAGUGGUUAGAGCGCUGGGCCAGUAACCGAACGGUUGCAUUGAAUCCCAGAGCUGACAAGAUCAAAUGGGUUCCCAGGCCGACGUUGUAAAUAAGAAUUUCUUCUCAACUGAAAUGCUAAAUGUUAAAUAAAGGUUAAAUUAUUUUGUAAAAAUAGUACAUGGUAUGUUUGUCACUUUUCAACCAAUCCGGUACAUUCCCAUCGACUGCAUGA